UGACCCACUGCACAUCUGUCCUACCUUGU
rnacentral:piRNA from 1 species